AGAUUUCUCCUUCGUCGAAAUGACAAAAUAAAUACCAUCUUGUCAUUUCGACGAAGGAGAAAUCU
rnacentral:misc_RNA from 1 species